rnacentral:lncRNA from 1 species
GCACGUGUCUAUAUGCCUGUAGUCCCAGCUACUCAGGAGGCUAAGGUGGGAGGAUUACUUGAACUCAGGAGGACGAGACUGCAAUUAGCCAUGAUUGUGCCACCACACUCCAGCCUGGGCAACAGAGUGAGACCCUGUCUCCAAAAAAAAAAAAGAAAAAAUAAAAAAGAAUUCAGUGGAAAGAAACCUCAGGUUUGCAUGAGAAACUACUGAUUAGGCAUUCACACAGUUGUAAUUGUCAGAUGAAGAAGGUAAUAUACAAGGCUGCAUCUGAACCAUCCCACAGGUUGAGAUUUCAUUGAUUUUCUCCUGAGACUUGGG